rnacentral:tRNA from 1 species
AUAAAGUGGCUGAAUUAAAGCGUUAAAUUGUAAAUUUAAUUAUGAGUUUUCUCCUUUAUUA